rnacentral:rRNA from 1 species
GACGAACGCUGGUGGCGUGCUUAACACAUGCAAGUCGAACGAAGUGGCGAACGGGUGAGUAACGCGUAAUCAACCUGCCCUUCAGAGGGGGACAACAGUUGAAAACGACUGCUAAUACCGCAUACUGAAGGAGGGGAUUGCGUCUGAUUAGCUAGUUGGAGGGGUAACGGCCCACCAAGGCGAUGAUCAGUAGUCGGUCUUGGAGGAUGAACGGCCAAAUGGGGACUGGGAAACGGCCCAGACUCCUACGGGAGGCAGCAGUGGGGAAUCGUCCGAAAUGGACGAAAGUCUGACGGAGCAACGCCGCGUGAGUGAUGACGGCCUUCGGGUUGGAAAGCUCUGUUAAUCGGGACGCGGUACCGGAAUAGGAAGCAACGGCUAACUACGUGCCAGCCGCCGCGGUAAUUC